rnacentral:ribozyme from 11 species
GGUGCUGGGGAAACUUCCCUCCGGCGGGCUGGUCAAGGAGUUGAGCGGGGGGGGGAAGGGGGGGGGCUCGCUGACGGAUAAGGUACGGUCUGCUACCAAGGAAGAGGCGGAGAAUUGGGACCCCGACACUGUGCUUGCAUGGGUCAUGCUGCUCGAACUCCCCAGGGAGCAAAA